CUGGUUGGCAAUCAGGUGUUGAGUGCAAGUGCACAAGGGAGCUUGACUGUGAGACUGACAGGUCGAGCAGGGACGAAAGUCGGGACUAGUGAUCCGGCACCGGCAAGUGGAAGCGGUGUCGCUCAACGGAUAAAAGGUACCCCGGGGAUAACAGGCUGAUCUUCCCCAAGAGUCCAUAUCGACGGGAUGGUUUGGCACCUCGAUGUCGGCUCGUCGCAUCCUGGGGCUGGAGUAGGUCCCAAGGGUUGGGCUGUUCGCCCAUUAAAGCGGCACGCGAGCUGGGUUUAGAACGUCGUGAGACAGUUCGGUCUCUAUCCGCCGCGCGCGUUAGAAUCUUGAGGAAGGCUGUCCCUAGUACGAGAGGACCGGGACGGACGAACCUCUGGUGUGCCAGUUGUUCCACCAGGAGCACGGCUGGUUGGCUACGUUCGGAAGGGAUAACCGCUGAAAGCAUCUAAGCGGGAAGCCUGUUCCAAGAUUAGGAUUCUCACCACCUUGAGUGGGUAAGACCCCCUACAGACUAUGGGGUUGAUAGGCCAGAACUGGAAGCGCAGUAAUGCGUGCAGGUGACUGGUACUAAUCGGUCGAGGACUUACCACACA
rnacentral:rRNA from 1 species